AGCAGUGCAAGGCAUAGCAAUGCAAACAUGUUGUCUCACUCUUGGUGGGCUUCUAUUUUAUUCUUUCAAAACAUCAAGCAUCCUCUCAAGUAACUGGGUCAGCAAAACAUCCUCUCACAUGCCUGUUUCAGCAAUAAAUCUCACAAGAGAGCUUCCCAGCAAACAUCACAUGAUAUAACUGAGUUUCCAAAGAAAUUUCCACUUCACCAGUUAGAAGAACAGGAUCUACAUGCAGGCCUCCAUGGAGAUCUUCAUUAAUAUCCACUAAAGAGAAGGGAAAGUUACUUCAUCUGAGCAAUGUUUCAGUAGGAAAGAGCAAAAUGAGACCAUUUCAAAAGGAGGGAAAUGGUGCAACACAGAAUGAAUGCUCAAAGCAAGAAGAAGAUCCAGUGUAAUACAGCAGAGUGGAUAGUCAGACUGCCUGGGCGGGACGUGGCACAUUAGGACACAGUAGGCAAUGACAUCGGCUGUGUAAAGCAGGAAUAGCAUUCAUUGAUGAGCCUGCCCUGCAGUAAAGCAAACAAAAGAUCAAAGACUGUCUCUGGCUUUUGAAAUGUUCUUGCCUUAGAAAAAGAUAACAUUCUAAAAACAAUACCACAUCUGUGUCUCCUAAUUUGUUCAUGUGCAGACAUUUUCUACUCCUAAAUUUGAUUCAUUUUCCACGAUUCCUCCUUUGGAGGCUACAGAGAAGAUAUUUUAAAUUCCUCCGGUGAUUGUUCAACGCUGAUAUUCUCCUCAUAUAGGGCAGCGACUGAUAUAAAUGGAUUCAACUUGGCAUAAUUAAUCACUGACUGGCCUUGAUUAUAACAUUCGCAAGGAAGGAAUCAGGAUUUGUACUGUGUUUUAAUGUGGAAUACUUACCUGUACCAAUUGUGAGUCAAGAAGAAUAAAAAGUUUCAACCUUGUCUUACAUGAA